rnacentral:misc_RNA from 1 species
UACGUAGGUGGGAAGCGUUGUCCGGGAUUAUUGGGCGUAAAGCGCGCGCAGGCGGCCUCUUAAGUCUGAUGUGAAAGCCCCCGGCUCAACCGGGGAGGGCCAUUGGAAACUGGGAGGCUUGAGUAUAGGAGAGAAGAGUGGAAUUCCACGUGUAGCGGUGAAAUGCGUAGAUAUAUGGAGGAACACCGGUGGCGAAAGCGGCUCUCUGGCCUGUAACUGACGCUGAGGCGCGAAAGCGUGGGGAGCAAACAGG